GGAGCUGGAGGCGCUUCGGGUCCGGCUGGCACAGGCAGAGCAGGACAUGGAAACUGUGCUGUCCUGCGCACGGCAAAGGGAGGAACGGCUCCGGGCCCAAGUGGAGGCGCUGAGGAGCCAGAACCUCUUCCUGGUGCUGGCCCUCAAGGCGCAGAGGGAGCAGGGCUGCGAACAG